AACGAACGCUGGCGGCAGGCUUAACACAUGCAAGUCGAACGCAUCCUUCGGGGUGAGUGGCAGACGGGUGAGUAACGCGUGGGAACGUGCCCUUCAGUUCGGGAUAACCCAGGGAAACUUGGGCUAAUACCGGAUACGUGCGAGAGCAGAAAGAUUUAUCGCUGAAGGAUCGGCGCGCGUCUGAUUAGCUAGUUGGUGGGGUAAUGGCCCACCAAGGCGACGAUCAGUAGCUGGUCUGAGAGGAUGAUCAGCCACAUUGGGACUGAGACACGGCCCAAACUCCUACGGGAGGCAGCAGUGGGGAAUAUUGGACAAUGGGCGCAAGCCUGAUCCAGCCAUGCCGCGUGAGUGAUGAAGGCCUUAGGGUUGUAAAGCUCUUUCGUCCGGGACGAUAAUGACGGUACCGGGAGAAGAAGCCCCGGCUAACUUCGUGCCAGCCGCCGCAGUAA
rnacentral:rRNA from 1 species